rnacentral:rRNA from 7 species
CUUGGCGGCAAUAGCGCGGUGGUCCCACCUGACCCCAUGCCGAACUCAGAAGUGAAACGCCGUAGCGCCGAUGGUAGUGUGGGGUCUCCCCAUGCGAGAGUAGGACACUGCCAGGC